rnacentral:rRNA from 1 species
GAUGAACGCUGGCGGCGUGCCUAAUACAUGCAAGUCGAGCGAACAGACGAGGAGCUUGCUCCUCUGACGUUAGCGGCGGACGGGUGAGUAACACGUGGAUAACCUACCUAUAAGACUGGGAUAACUUCGGGAAACCGGAGCUAAUACCGGAUAAUAUAUUGAACCGCAUGGUUCAAUAGUGAAAGACGGUUUUGCUGUCACUUAUAGAUGGAUCCGCGCCGCAUUAGCUAGUUGGUAAGGUAACGGCUUACCAAGGCAACGAUGCGUAGCCGACCUGAGAGGGUGAUCGGCCACACUGGAACUGAGACACGUUCCAGACUCCUACGGGAGGCAGCAGUAGGGACUCUUCCGCAAUGGGCGAAAGCCUGACGUAGCAACGCCUCGUGAGUGAUGAAGGUCUUCUGAUCGUAAAACUCUGUUAUUAGGGAAGAACAAAUGUGUAAGUAACUAUGCACGUCUUGACGGUACCUAAUCAGAAAGCCACGGCUAACUACGUG